GUGGGGAAUAUUGGACAAUGGGCGAAAGCCUGAUCCAGCCAUGCCGCGUGUGUGAAGAAGGUCUUUGGAUUGUAAAGCACUUUAAGUUGGGAGGAAGGGCAGUAAGUUAAUACCUUGCUGUUUUGACGUUACCAACAGAAUAAGCACCGGCUAACUUCGUGCCAGCAGCCGCGGUAAUACGAAGGGUGCAAGCGUUAAUCGGAAUUACUGGGCGUAAAGCGCGCGUAGGUGGUUCAGCAAGUUGAAGGUGAAAUCCCCGGGCUCAACCUGGGAACUGCCUCCAAAACUGCAUGACUAGAGUACGGUAGAGGGUAGUGGAAUUUCCUGUGUAGCGGUGAAAUGCGUAGAUAUAGGAAGGAACACCAGUGGCGAAGGCGACUACCUGGACUGAUACUGACACUGAGGUGCGAAAGCGUGGGGAGCAAACAGGAUUAGAUACCCGAGUAGUCC
rnacentral:rRNA from 1 species